rnacentral:lncRNA from 1 species
CAAUUUCCCCUUUAAUCAACCACAACAGAGCAGCCUACGACAUCGAUCGGAAAAGAUAAGAGAAACACGCUUCUGGUUUCUAAAUCGUGAAAGUCAAACCCAGCUUCCCCCUAAAAUCGACCCAGCACUCAAUCGAUAUCAGCAAAGAUGUAACCCGAAAUCACCAUCUCCGACCCAACCUCAACCCGAUGCUCGCGUGAAUCACGUGCAUCCCACGUGAACAUGUUUGAGAAAAGCUUAGGAAGCUUCUAGAUAUGGGUGAGUUGAUGCGCUGUCCCUCUCCAACGUUUGAAUCCCAAUUUUCUCGGGUUGAUGUGUACGAUUUCGUACAAUUCUCAUUGGUUUAAAGGGUGUAUUUCGUUUGGUUCUUUUUUUUAUUGGUCCACCUGUUUGUCUCUUCUGGGAGAGAAAUCAAAAAGGGAUGCAUUCGUUUAGCUAAGGGGGAGCCCCGUUUUGAAUUUUGAAUUCCCACAGAAAAUCCCUAGGUUACCCUCAUUGGUUUCGAUAUAAAGAGCUCACUGUUGAGCUGAACAGGGAGGAAUUUUCUCUGGGGGGGCGAUUUUUGGUUCAAAAAAAAAAAAAUCAAGGGAAAAUUUGGGUUCGGAAAAAUUGAGGAAGAGAAAAUCCUGAGAGAGAAAGAGAGGGCUCUCAAGAAAAAUAUUUUUUGGAUACCAAAAAAUAUACGCGUUCUUGAAAAAUAUUUGCGCCUGAAUCGUUGAAGAUCUUUGGGUGGUGAUCGAAAUCCUGACGAUAGCUGGUAGUCCCGUUUGCUGCCCUUAAGGAGGUAAAUACACUCUACUUUCCUUUUAGUUUGAUCGCUUUCUUCUUCAUCUCUUUUCUUCGUACCUGUUGCAGUCAUAGUCGUAGUUUGUCUUACUAGGAGUAGCUACUGUAGUCUUUGUCGAAAUUUUGAUUGUUCUGUAAAUUGCUUGUUGUAGAGGCCUGAAAGGCCUUGGGUUUUUUUUUUAGUAAAGAAGUAUUUGGUUGCACUGUUACGUUAAGAUUACCUUUGUCAUUGCUGCCUAUGUGCAAUUUCUGCUGAUUCUGGCUCAGUUUAGAAACUUGUCGCCUAGUCUUGAUGUUGUUGAUGAAUUCACAGCGUAACGCUUACUGUUUGAGAUGGAUAGUUGGUUUUCGUGACAAAGAUUCAUGCUUUGAAUUCGUUUACCAAUUCCAGAUUAAUAAUGUCUUGAAUAAGCUGGUUUCGUAGUAAGGUUUCGUGCUUUUAAUUUUGUUUUGACAGUUUCGGAUUAAUGAUAUUUGGAAUAAGUUAAUUUCGUAACAAAGUUCCUUGCUUUAAGUCUGUUAAAUAGUUCGGGCUAAUGAGAGGUCAUUAUAGUUAUUUUCGUGGUCAAGUCGCACGCUUUGAUUUUGUCUCAGGCUAUUGAUAUCUCACUAUACUUAAUUUCAUGGUUAAAGUUCUGCACUUGGAAUUUUGUUUAACAGUUUAGGGUUAAGGAUGUUUUGUUCGCGGUUAGUAUUUGAUAUUGUCUGGUUUUUGUCGCCGUUAGUUUGAUGUGGUUGAACUGGUAAUAUCAUUAGUAGAACCUCCUCUUGGAUUCUUUGGCUUCUCAAAUGAUGAAGAAUCACGAGGAUAUGUCUAAAAACUAGUGAAUCCCAUGAUUCCUUGAUGACCUUUCUGACCAUUGAACUCAUUCUGAGUUUGUCAGAAAGAAGAUGAGGUCGAUAUCGUUGUUCCGUCACUUCCUCUUUAGAUUCAUUUACUACGUCUCUUCCGUGUGGAUUUUGGGUUUUAGUGAUCAGAGGAGUUGGUAGUUUCUUGGUUUAAGUGAGAGUUUCUUUGCCUCACUUGAUUGGAUUGCCUUGCAUACUGUAUAACAUAAGAGAAGAGAGUUAAAACGAAUUUUCCUUGAUCCACCUGUUGCGUGAAUUUAUUCAUCUACUUUAAAAACUAUCUUCAGUUCUUACUUUUAUAUCUCAGUCGAGUACUUUGAUGGCUAAUUGAUAAAAAAUUUUCUUAGCUUUUUUUUUUUUUCUUUUCUCCGAUUAGUAAGCACUUUAAGUUAUCUGUUUAUCAUGAAGGCGAUUUACUGCUAAUGUAAUCCCCUCACAACUGCUGUAGCACCCCUCUACUGUAGAAAAUAAGACCAACUUUAUGUUCUAUGCUCUCAUAUAAUGAUCGUCACAUCAGAUUGGGAAAACUGAAACCCUUUACUGGAGUUCUUUCAUGCAUAUGCACGUUUCUAUGCAAAAAUAUUACUAGUAUGUAAUAUAUCAUGCUCUCUUUGAUCCCUAUAUUAAAGAUUUAAAAAUCAAUUACAUGUCAUGAGUUCUAUAAUCUUGUACCAAAGUUUCCUUUUUAUGCUUGAGUUUGGAGUAAUGACUUUCGAAAGCCUUGAACCUUCGGAAUUUCCAUUGUUAUCAAGAUAGUUUGUUUCCAUGAACAUAUAUUAAUUCAUAUAUUUUUAUUUUCUUUGCAUGAAUUCGCCUCGGAGUCCAUACGGGCUCUUUCACUUUGCAUUACAUAAUGGGCCAAUAUGGCCCAUCUUUCGUGUCAAGCCCCGAAAGGAGGUCCAAACUAAUUACAUAGCAUACGGAUGCAAGAAGUCGAAAGAGGAAUAAUGGGUUAAAAUCCCAUUCUUGAAGCGACGACGAAACCCAAGCCUCAUUUCUGUGUAUUUAUUUAUUGUCGUUAUCUAUUUAUUGUUGUCAUUUUUAUUAUUGUUUAUUUCCUUUUUUCUUUCAUUAUUCAUUCAUUUGGGCCUCGAAGCCAACGUUGUAAAUUUAAUACAGGUGGAGCGGAUUUUGGGUUGAAAACCCAACUAGAUUAGGACAGGGUCGACGGUUGAAAGCCUAAAUCACUACUUCUCCCUUUCCCUUUUUCCUUUUUACUUGCUUUACGUAUUUCUUGCGAACCUAGUUAAAUCCUUAGUCAAGUCGCUAAAAAGUGGUUUUGCAUAAACACCAAAAUAUUCGUAAAAUUGCUUUCUUUUCAAAAAUCAAUUUUUUCAAGGUUAAUCAAAGACGAUUUUCAAACAGUCCGAAUAAUCGCAAGUUAGCGGACGUUUGAGGUGCCUAACACCUUCCUAAAAUGAUAAUAGGAACCGUUUACUUAUAAUCUUUACCUUCAACUAUUUUUCUAUUUUGGAUCGUUUAAAGUAACUCUCUAAAGGUUUUUUAAUUCCUUUUCAAAAUUAAGUGGCAACUCUUCAAAAUGUCAAAAUUUCCGCAAAACAACUUCAACUACUUUCAAAUUGUAAUUAAAUCGACUUAUUUUCUCUUUAUCAUGCUAAUGUAAUUAUUUUUAUGAUUCAAUUCAG